rnacentral:rRNA from 1 species
UACGUAGGGGGCUAGCGUUGUCCGGAUUUAUUGGGCGUAAAGAGCGUGUAGGCGGUUAGGUAGGUCCGUUGUGAAAACUCGAGGCUCAACCUCGAGACGCCGAUGGAAACCAUCUAACUAGAGUCCGGAAGAGGAGAGUGGAAUUCCUGGUGUAGCGGUGAAAUGCGCAGAUAUCAGGAAGAACACCCGUGGCUAAGGCGGCUCUCUAGUACGGUACUGACGCUGAGACGCGAAAGCGUGGAGAGCGAACAGG